UACGGGGGGGGCAAGCGUUGUUCGGAAUUACUGGGCGUAAAGGGCUCGUAGGCGGCCAACUAAGUCGGAUGUAAAAUCCCCAGGCUUAACCUGGGAACUGCAUCCGAUACUGGAUGGCUUGAAUUCGGGAGAGGGAUGCAGAAUUCCAGGUGUAGCGGUGAAAUGCGUAGAUAUCUGGAGGAAUACCGGUGGCGAAGGCGGCAUCCUGGACCGGCAUUGACGCUGAGGCGCGAAAGCCAGGGGAGCAAACGGG
rnacentral:rRNA from 1 species